ACGAACGCUGGCGGUGUGCUUCACACAUGCCAGUCGAACGGUAAGGCCCUUUCGGGGGUACACGAGUGGCGAACGGGUGAGUAACACGUGAGUAACCUGCCCUCAUCUCUGGGAUAACAGUCGGAAACGGUUGCUAAUACUGGAUAUGAGCUUGCAAGGCAUCUUGUGGGUUGGAAAGAUUUUUUUUGGUUGGGGAUGGACUCGCGGCCUAUCAGCUUGUUGGUGAGGUAGUGGCUCACCAAGACUUCGACGGGUAGCCGGCCUGAGAGGGCGACCGGCCACAUUGGGACUGAGAUACGGCCCAAACUCCUACGGGAGGCAGCAGUGGGGAAUAUUGCACAAUGGACGGAAGUCUGAUGCAGCAACGCCGCGUGCGGGAUGACGGCCUUCGGGUUGUAAACCGCUUUCAAUUGUGACGAAGCUUUUUUGUGACGGUAGCAGUAGAAGAAGCACCGGCUAACUACGUG
rnacentral:rRNA from 1 species